rnacentral:rRNA from 1 species
ACGAACGCUGGCGGCGUGCUUAACACAUGCAAGUCGAACGGUGAAGCGCCUUCCUUUUUGGUGGGUGUGGAUGAGUGGCGAACGGGUGAGUAACACGUGAGUAACCUGCCCCCUUCUUCUGGAUAACCGCAUGAAAGUGUGGCUAAUACGGGAUAUUCUGGGUCUGUCGCAUGAUGGGUCUGGGAAAGAUAUUGUUUCGGUGGGGGAUGGGCUCGCGGCCUAUCAGCUUGUUGGUGGGGUGAUGGCCUACCAAGGCGGUGACGGGUAGCCGGCCUGAGAGGGUGGACGGUCACACUGGGACUGAGACACGGCCCAGACUCCUACGGGAGGCAGCAGUGGGGAAUAUUGAACAGUGGGCGCAAGCCUGAUGCAGCGACGCCGCGUGAGGGAUGGAGGCCUUCGGGUUGUGAACCUCUUUCGCCAGUGAAGCAGGCCUGCCUCGUUUGUGGGUGGGUUGACGGUAGCUGGAUAAGAAGCGCCGGCUAACUACGUG